rnacentral:rRNA from 1 species
AUACGAAGGGGGCUAGCGUUGUUCGGAAUUACUGGGCGUAAAGCGCGCGUAGGCGGAUUGGUCAGUUAGGGGUGAAAUCCCAGGGCUUAACCCUGGAACUGCCUCUAAUACUGCCAGUCUUGAGUUCGGGAGAGGUGAGUGGAAUUCCUAGUGUAGAGGUGAAAUUCGUAGAUAUUAGGAAGAACACCAGUGGCGAAGGCGGCUCACUGGCCCGAUACUGACGCUGAGACGCGAAAGCGUGGGGAGCAAACAGGAUUAGAAACCCCAGUAGUCC